UCGCUUGAGGAGGAGCUUGCGGCAGAUUAGCUAGUUGGUAAGGUAACGGCUUACCAAGGCUACGAUCUGUAACCGGUCUUAGAGGACGGUCGGUCACACUGACACUGAAUAACGGGUCAGACUCCUACGGGAGGCAGCAGUCGGGAAUUUUGGGCAAUGGGCGAAAGCCUGACCCAGCAACGCCGCGUGAAGGAUGAAGUAUUUCGGUAUGUAAACUUCGAAAGAAUAGGAAGAAUCAAUGACGGUACUAUUUAUAAGGUCCGGCUAACUACGUGCCAGCAGCCGCGGUAAUACGUAGGGACCAAGCGUUGUUCGGAUUUACUGGGCGUAAAGGGCGCGUAGGCGGCAUGACAAGUCACUUGUGAAAUCUCCGGGCU
rnacentral:rRNA from 1 species